rnacentral:hammerhead_ribozyme from 1 species
ACCCGGCUGAUGAGUGCCAAACAGGACGAAACGCGGGUCCUGGAC